rnacentral:rRNA from 1 species
AUUGAACGCUGGCGGCAGGCCUAACACAUGCAAGUCGAGCGAGCGGCGGACGGGUGAGUAAUGUCUGGGAGACUGCCUGAUGGAGGGGGAUAACUACUGGAAACGGUAGCUAAUACCGCAUCCGAUCUGAUGUGCCCAGAUGUGAUUAGCUCUGAGGUGGGGUAACGGCUCACCUAGGCGACGAUCCCUAGCUGGUCUGAGAGGCUGACCAGCCACACUGGAACGGAGACACGGUCCAGACUCCUACGGGCGGCAGCAGUGGGGAAUAUUGCACAAUGGGCGCAAGCCGGAUGCAGCCAUGCCGCGUGUGUGAAGAAGGCCUUCGGGUUGUAAAGCACUUUCAGCGGGGAGGCGUUACCCGCAGAAGAAGCACCGGCUAACUCCGUGCCAGCAGCCGCGGUAAUUC